rnacentral:miRNA from 1 species
AGGCUUCUGUAGAUCAGCCAGC